ACAACUCCCAGCGUGCACCGCGGCGUUCGGGCGCUAUGACGGGCGGCCCGCCGCAGCCUCCCACGCCCCGGAGCUUUCGGUGUCCCCCCGCGUUCAAAGCGCUGGGAAAAAAACACAAGGAUUGGUGAAAUAACCCUCACGAAAUCCUGCCUUGCACGUGAUGAGGAAAAUGCGACGGCAAGCCCUCAGUGCCACGUAGAAGAUUUGUCACUUGGCUGGAUGCUGACACACUCCUGAGAGCCAAACAGCAAACCAAGAGCUGAUGUUUGUAUGGUUGCCUUUGUGAUCCCAAACCAUUCUGAACACAGAAAGAAAAUACUCUUCAGGAUCACACCUUGUGCCUGGUUUUCUGUUGUGCUGAGCAGCAGACAGCUGGUAUCCUGUUUGUGUAAUAAACACAACUGGUGGAUAUGGUAAAA